CACCGAGCUGGUCUCGGCAGUCGGGAGUUCGAGAUCAGCCUGACCAACAUGGAGAAACCCAGUCUCUACUAAAAAAAAUACAAAAAUUAGCCGGGCAUGGUGGCACAUGCCUGAAUCCCAGCUACUUGGGAGGCUGAGGCAGGAGAAUCGCUCCAACCCAGGAGGCGGAGGUUGUGGUGAGCCAAGAUCCGGCCGUUGCACUCCAGCCUGGGCAACAAGUGCAAAACUCCGUCUCAAAAAAAAAAAAAAAAAAGCUCUUAAGAGCACAUAAACAUAGGAACUUUGUGAAGUCUAAGGACAAAACAAAAAACAACAUCACUAACAGACCAUAAAAUUAGAAAUCAGUCACAAAAAGCCAGUCAAAAUAUCCAAGAAUUUAUGGUUGAAGAUUGAAUGAAAUUGACAAAAUAUUUAGACCUGAAUUUUAUAUAUGCACAUAUCAAAACUUGCAAAAUGUAGCUGAUGUGGUCUUUUGAAGGAGAAGAGGUAAAAAAUAAUCAGUUCAAAAAAUUAUACUAAAGAGGCCGGGCGCGGUGGCUCACGCCUGUAAUCCCAGCACUUCGGGAGGCCAUGGCGGGCGGAUCAUGAGGUCAGGAGAUCGAGACCAACCUGGCUAACACGGUGAAACCCCGUCUCUACUAAAAAUACAGAAAAAUUAGCCGGGCGUGGUGGCAGGCGCCUGUAGUCCCAGCUACUCAGGAGGCUGAGGCAGUAGAAUGGCGUAAACCCAGGAGGCGGAGGUUGCAGUGAGCCGAGAUCGCGCCACUGCACUCCAGCCUGGGCGAUACAGCGAGACUCCGUCUCAAAAAAAAAAAAAAAAAAAAUUAUGCUAAAGAGUAAACUCAAAGAAAGUAGAGGAAAAGAAUGAAUUAAAAAUCUGUGUUUAUAAAUAAAAAUAAAAGUAACGGAGCAAAAAGACGGGCAU
rnacentral:lncRNA from 10 species